rnacentral:miRNA from 1 species
UGUAUAUGUAUGUAUGUCUGUAUAUAUAUAUAUAUAUAUAUAUAUAUAUAUAUAUAUAUAUAUAUAUAUAUAUACACACACAUAUGUAUACACAUAUGUAUAUAUA